AGAGUUUGAUCAUGGCUCAGGAUGAACGCUGGCGGCGUGCCUAAUACAUGCAAGUCGAGCGGUAAGGCCUCUUCGGAGGUACACGAGCGGCGGACGGCUGAGUAACACGUAGGAACGUACCCCAAACUGAGGGAUAAGCACCAGAAAUGGUGUCUAAUACCGCAUGUGCUCUAAGGAGUAAAGCUACGGCGGUUUGGGAACGGCCUGCGUCCGAUUAGCUUGUUGGUGAGGUAAUGGCUCACCAAGGCGACGAUCGGUAGCUGGUCUGAGAGGAUGAUCAGCCAGACUGGGACUGAGAACGGCCCAGACUCCUACGGGAGGCAGCAGUAGGGAAUUUUCCACAAUGGGCGAAAGCCUGAUGGAGCAACGCCGCGUGCAGGAUGAAUGCCUUCGGGUUGUAAACUGCUUUUAUCUGUGACGAAUAUGACGGUAGCAGAUGAAUAAGGAUCGGCUAACUCCGUGCCAGCAGCCGCGGUCAUACGGAGGAUCCAAGCGUUAUCCGGAAUUACUGGGCGUAAAGAGUUGCGUAGGUGGCAAAGUGUGUCAGUAGUGAAAGCGUGUGGCUCAACCAUAUAUACAUUACUGAAACUGCUUAGCUAGAGGACGAGAGAGGUACCUGGAAUUCCCAGUGUAGGAGUGAAAUCCGUAGAUAUUGGGAGGAACACCGAUGGCGUAGGCAGAGUACUGGCUCGUUCCUGACACUAAGGCACGAAAGCGUGGGGAGCAAACGGGAUUAGAUACCCCCGUAGUCC
rnacentral:rRNA from 1 species